GACGUAGGGCGCGAGCGUUGUCCGGAUUUAUUGGGCGUAAAGAGCUCGUAGGCGGCUUGUUGCGUCAGCUGUGAAAACCCGCAGCUCAACUGUGGGCUGCAGCUGAUACGGGCAGGCUUGAGUUCGGUAGGGGAGACUGGAAUUCCUGGUGUAGCGGUGAAAUGCGCAGAUAUCAGGAGGAACACCAAAUUGCGAAGGCAGCUCGCUGGGACGUUUACUGACGCUGAGACGCGAAAAGCGUGGGGAGCAAACAGG
rnacentral:rRNA from 1 species